rnacentral:rRNA from 1 species
UACAGAGGGGGCAAGCGUUAUUCGGAAUUAUUGGGCGUAAAGGGCGCGUAGGCGGCCUGGCAAGUGGAAGGUGAAAUCCCUCGGCUUAACCGAGGAACUGCCCUCCAAACUGCUUUGGCUUGAGUCCGGGAGAGGUGAGUGGAAUUCCCAGUGUAGCGGUGAAAUGCGUAGAUAUUGGGAGGAACACCAGUGGCGAAGGCGGCUGACUGGUCCGGAUCUGACGCUGAGGCGCGAAAAGCGUGGGGAGCAAACAGG